GAGAGGCGGAGAAAGGAAGUCGGAAAACAGAUUUAAACCAACGUUUAAACCAAUGCAUCUGUUUGUCAGUCCUGUGAGAGAACGCCGUUACCGGAGAGAUCUGGAAGCUAAAACAAACUGGAGCUGCUUUUUGUCCAACACGAGUGAGACUGGACGGUGAACACACCUGUGAAGGUUGACUGGUUGAGCUGCUGCAGCCUGGACACAAACACCUGCUCUCACCUGACAAACCAAACAGGUGUCACCACUUCAUCCACGAUCACAGAGAGUCUUCGUACAGUGAAGAAGUUCUGUGAGACCAGGACAGAGGCCUCCAGGUGAUGCGGUCUCCUCCUCCUCCAGCUGAGACGGAGCAUGUUCAUCACAGAUACUGUCCAAAGCUUCAAGUCCUGCAACUUUAUUACAAAUAUAUAUGAAGAAGGAAAAGACAGCUCUCACAUAUGAUGCGGUCUCCUUCUCCUGCAGAGACAGAGCAUGUUCAUCACAGAAACUGCCCAGAGCUUCAAGUCCUGCAACUUUAUUACAAAUAUAAUUAAAGAAGGAAAAGACAUUUCUUAUAUACAGUGACAUUUUGGACCGUUUUUGACACCUCACUAUAAGAAAAUAUUUCAAAGCAGCUGUCUUACCUUGAUUUCCACAGACACACACAUAUUCACAGACUCACAUCUCUACACAGCGUUUGCAGUUUAGGUUAGAUUUUCUGUUAGUCAUUACAUUUUGGUAUUAUGCCACUUUGAACAGUGUAUUAUGUGAACACAGUUCUGUUUAUACUGUUCAGAUGUUUAUAUUUUUUGUAUAUUGUUAUAUACUAUCUUGUUUAAUAUUUUGUCUUGUUUAUAUCAUGCCUUUUUCUAUUUUUUCAGUUGCAACACUGAAUUUCUCCACUGGGGAACUAAUAAAGAAUUGUCUUACUUAAAUAUGUCUGAAUACUGAAUAUUUUGUUGGUCUGUUUAAUAUUGUAUGAAAGUGAAUAUUUUCAGCCAGGGGCCACUUCUAGCUGGAGGUUAGGGUUAGGGUUAUGGCUUUUAGCCACUUUUAGCCAGAAGUUAGGAUUAGGGUUAGGG